rnacentral:rRNA from 1 species
UACGAAGGGGGCUAGCGUUGCUCGGAAUUACUGGGCGUAAAGCGCAUGUAGGCGGCAGCGCAAGUCGGGCGUGAAAUCCCACGGCUCAACCGUGGAAGUGCACUCAAAACUGCGCAGCUAGAGUCCUGGAGAGGAAGGUGGAAUGCUUGGUGUAGAGGUGAAAUUCGUAGAUAUCAAGCGGAACACCGGUGGCGAAGGCGGCCUUCUGGACAGUGACUGACGCUGAGAUGCGAAAGCGUGGGGAGCAAACAGG